rnacentral:rRNA from 1 species
CGAGUGGCGGACGGGUGAGUAAUGUCUGGGAAACUGCCUGGUGGAGGGGGAUAACUACUGGAAACGGUAGCUAAUACCGCAUAACGUCGCAAGACCAAAGAGGGGACCUUCGGGCCUCUCGCCAUCGGAUGUGCCCAGAUGGGAUUAGCUAGUAGGUGGGGUAACGGCUCACCUAGGCGACGAUCCCUAGCUGGUCUGAGAGGAUGACCAGCCACACUGGAACUGAGACACGGUCCAG